CCAUCUCGGCCCAAUAAGCCCAACACAAGCGCUACAAAAUCCCCAUCGCUUCAUUCUCCGCCGCUAUCCCCCCUCCCGCCGCCGCCGCCGCCGCUGCAAACCCUGGCUCGCGGCUCGGACCAACGGCAGCCAUGACGUGGAAGCGGAGGAAUGGCGGGCGCAACAAGCACGGCCGCGGCCGCGGCCACGUCAAGUAGAUCCGCUGCUCCAAGGUGUUCUCCCAGAAUCCAUUCCUCUGCCACGAAUCUAAUGGACAAGGCUAUCAACCGUUUCUUGGUGAGGAAUAUUGUUGAGCAGGCUGCAGUCUUGAGAUAUGCAAGAGGCUUGUGUACAUGAUGGUUGAACAUCUGUGGCUAUCUUUUUGUUUGAUGAUUGAAUGCUGGUGGAUGGUUAAACAUGCAAUCGUCAUGUUUAUUUGUCCAGGUCACGUUCUUCCUAAGCUGUAUGCAAAGGUGCAUCACUGCGUUUCAUGGAAUGCAAUUCAUGCUCACAUUGUCAGUGUUCGCUCUUGCGAGAACAGGAGGAAUUGUGAGCUUCCGCAGCAUUUCAGGUGCAGGACCUUCACUGUUAUUGGACGACCACCUACCGUUUAAAGAGCUUUUCUUUCAGCACACAUAAUGCAAUUCUUUUGAAAUGCAUGCAGAACUGUACGGAUCUGUCUUUUCGCUGAUCAUUGUGGAUGACAUAUUUCAGAUUGCACUGGAAAAUAUAGUUCUGCAAGCUGUAUCUGAGUUGUCCGAGAGCUGAAGCGUUCAUCUGAUGUUGUAUCUUGGAAUAACUUGAUGUCUCCUUUGGUGGUAUCAAAGACAAGCCAAGUAUCCAAAAGCAUGCUGAUUUAACAUCUGAAACUUGUGCAGGGAGGUGGUGCUGCGCCUCCUGCACCAGCUGCUGCCCGUGCCGGAGUUUCAGCUCUGCGCACCUUGAGCUUCUCUCCAGUUGUUUUUUGUAGCUGAGUUUGGGAUUUUCUUUUUUUUUUUUUUGGGGGGGGGGGGGUCAAUCGAUCCAUGUUGGACUGUUUCGGUUCUUUUCUGCUGUAAUUAGUUGUAUUUAAGUUCUCAAAUACACGAUUUGUUGUUGUGUUUAUUAACACAAUUGCAUUAUCCACAAUGGGAAUAGGAAACUGUUGUUUUUUUA